rnacentral:tRNA from 1 species
UUAAAGUGGCAGAGAACUAAUGCAAGGAAUUUAAGCUUCCUUUACGAAAAUUUCCUUUAAU